GCCCCUUUAGCUCAGUUGGUAGAGCUACGGACUUUUAAUCCGCAGGUCGUCAGUUCGAGUCUGACAGGGGGCA
rnacentral:tRNA from 1 species